rnacentral:rRNA from 1 species
GGGGGAUAAGCUUCAUUGUCGAGAGGGAAACAGCCCAGAUCACCAUUUAAGGCCCCUAAAUAAUUACUAAGUGAUAAAGGAUGUAAUAUUACAUAGACAACCAGGAGGUUGGCUUAGAAGCAGCCAUUCCUUUAAAAAGUGCGUAAUAGCUUACUGGUCAAGUGAUAUUGCGCUUAAAAUGAACGGGACUAAGUAAUUUGCCGAAAGUGUGAGAGAAAUCGGUAGAAGAGCGUUCUGCAUCGACUAGAAGUGGUAGUGUAAACAACCAUGGAUCGACCAGAAGUGAGAAUGUCGGCUUAAGUAACGAAAACAUUGGUGAAAAUCCUAUGCUCCGAAAACCUAAGGGUUCCUUAGCUAGGUUCGUCCACUAAGGGUUAGUCAGGUCCUAAAAUAAGGUUUAACAACGUAAUUUGAUGGAAGACAGGUUAAUAUUCCUGUACCGAAUCUCAUUAAAUCUUGGGUAACGAAAGAGGCUAGGCCGGCCGUAAACUGGUAAUACGGUUUAAUUGUUCAAGACGUAGAAAGAUAGUAGAAAGAAUAUCUAGAGUUGAGACAAGAAUACGAUAAAUGUUAAGGCAUUAAAAGCGGCUAACGUCAUAUUUCCAAGAAAAGCCUUAGUUUAUGAGAUGUGAGAUCGCCUGUACCGCAAACUGACACAGGUAGGUURGUAGAGUAUACUAAGGAGCGCGAGAUAACUCUUUCUAAGGAACUCGGCAAAAUAACUUCGUAACUUCGGAAGAAGAAGUGCCUCAAAUUGAGGUCACAGUAAACAGGUCCAAGCGACUGCUUACCAAAAGCACAGGUCUCCGCUAAGUUGAAAAACGACGUAUGGGGGCUGACGCCUGCCCAGUGCCGGAAGGUUAAAGAAAUUGGUUAGCGUAAGCAAAGCUAGUGACUGAAGCCCCGGUGAACGGCGGCAAUAACUAUAAUUGUCCUAAGGUAGCGAAAUUCCUUGUCGGGUAAGUUCCGACCCGCACGAAAGGCGUAACGAUUUGGACGCUGUCUCAGAAAGAGACUCGGUGAAAUAGAAUUGACUGUGAAGAUGCGGUCUACUUGCACUUGGACAGAAAGACCCUAUGAAGCUUUACUGUAACCUGAAAUUGGUUUCGGGCUUUUCUUGCGCAGCAUAGGUGGGAGGCUAAGAUCCUAUCUUUCGGGAAAAGGUGAGCCAAAAUAUGAGAUACCACUCUAGAAAAGCUAGAAAUCUAAUACUAGUCUUAAGCCCUCGCAAGAUGAUUGACAGUUUCAGGCGGGCAGUUUUACUGGGGCGGUAGCCUCCUAAAAAGUAACGGAGGCGUACAAAGGUUUUCUCAGUCUAGACGGAAAUUAGUUGUAGAGUAUAAAGAUAUAAGAAAGCUUGACUGUAAGACCUAUAAGUCGAACAGAGACUAAAGUCGGUCUUAGUGACCCGACGGUGCUGAGUGGAAAGGCCGUCGUAAACAGAUAAAAGUUACUCUAGGGAUAACAGGCUGAUCUCCCCCAAGAGUUCACAUCGACGGGGAGGUUUGGCACCUCGAUGUCGGCUCAUCGCAACCUGGGGCGGUAGUACGUUCCAAGGGUUGGGCUGUUCGCCCAUUAAAGCGGUACGUGAGCUGGGUUCAGAACGUCGAGAGACAGUUCGGUCCAUAUCCGGUGUGAGCGUUAGAGUAUUGAAAGGAGCUUUCCUUAGUACGAGAGGACCGGGAAAGACACACCACUGAUGUACCAGUUUUUGUGCCAACAGAAUACGCUGGGUAGUCAAGUGUGGAGUGGAUAACUGCUGAAAGCAUA